ensembl:lncRNA
GGCCUUUCAUCCUAUUACCCAAUCCUGGUCCUCAUCCUUCAUAAAAGCAUGUGAAAAUGAUCUCAGCCAUCAUCAGUAAGUGGCGGGGGGAGCCUAAGAAAACGCCUGAAUAUUAGCAAAGGGGUGGUUAAUGGAAAUUCCUCUGAAGUGUUCAGAGUUCUGUAGGGUCAGCCUCACUCACCAAGUGCAUCAGAGAAAGUCACAGCCCGAAAAGGACUCAAAUCCAUGGUUAACGAAAAGGAAGCAAAAAGUAAAACUCAAGUCAGCGUUCAUUAAUUCAAAAGAAGGUCCUAAAAAAAAAAAAAAUUCAACUGAUUGUUUCAUAAUGGAAACACUGGAAAAUACAAACCCACUUAGUUCCAAGUCAAGUUUUUCCUUUUAUUCUUUAAUGAAGUUUGUGUUACCAAUAAGAAUUCUCUUUAAAAGUCCUAUACAUUGGCACAAUUAAGACAAAGCAAUGCAAGCUCCUCUCCCCAUGUGUUCAUUGACCCCAGCGAGUUCCCUGACCUGUCUUGGCCCUCUGGUGUCUAACACCCAGACAACACCCUUGGGGGUCAAGGUCCUAGAACCUGCAGGUGGCUGCCCAGGUCCGAAUCUGCGAUGCGGCACUUCCUGCUGCAUGACCUGAACCUCUCUAUGCUUCAGUUUCCUCACUUCCAAGAUGGAGAGGAUGACCAUGCCCACUCUGUCUAGUCGACACACUGUGCGACUGCCUGACACAGAGUGAACACGAUGCCCACGUGAGCUGCCGCUGCUGUCGCUAUUACUGAACGGACCAGAGCCCUCGCCAGCAAGUCUUCACAGCUGAAGCCACUUCCUGAGCCUCAAGCUUCAUCUGUGUGAUUCUUACGGCCGUCUUCACCACACGCGGACCUGGGGCCGUUGAUGCUGGAUGAGUCUCUUGCAAGUGUCUGUUUCCAGCUCUCUACACAGCUUUGUUACAACAGAGACUCCCCUUCCGGGCAUCACGGAUCCCAUCCACGUGGAGGUCUGUUUCGAAUUAAAACACGCUAUCGAGUUACAGCACUAACGCGUCUGCUUUGUUUCUUUUGCGGCUUUGUUUAGAAAACAACUUUGACAUCGUCCAAGCAAACAACUGGGACCAAAUGUGGGAACAGUCACUUAGAAGAACAAGAGGAAUCUGUUCCCGUUCAAAGAAGGGUAUUUUAUGAGAAACACAUGCUCCACGCCCAUCUCUAUCAGUCUGUAAUCUCCACAUGGAGGCAGCUGAGCCCCUGUGGACGUGCCUUCCUGGAACACAGUGGAAAAUCCUACAGCCCGACGGCGGUGCGGUCACGCAGGGCUCACUCAGGGUGGUACUGGGCGGACUAUAUAAGGGUUUGCCCUGAGUUGUCCACAUGCUUGAACGGGCACCCCCGUCACCAAGCCCAGGACAACUUCUCCACCCCAUCGUCCAGGCCAGAGAGGAGACUCCCCCAGGAACCCCACCACCACCUCGUCAGCACCCCACUUUAUGCAGCCCUUACCAGUCCCAGGCAACACUAGCACAGACCUACCUCUAAGCCUAAUUUUCAAACUCCUCUAAGGAGAACAUACUCCGCAAAGGAGCUGCGGCAUUUCUUCCACUCACUAAUAUGAUAAGUAACAUGCAUCAAGCACUUCUAGGCACCAGGAGGCACUUUCCAUGUAUUAACUCAUUUGACC